rnacentral:rRNA from 1 species
CUACAUGACCUAUUCCUGCUUUUCAUAGUCGAGGCAAUAUAUGAGGUAGCUAUUUCUAACAAGAUGGCGCCGGCUGCUUCAUGCAAAUCAAGUUUUGCUCGUUAUAUAGAAAGGUAUGUGUCAUUCUAUCCAACAGCAAUACGAGAGUCCACUCGCCCAAAAGAUUUCGAUCAUUUGCUGCACUUGUGUCAUAUCUACUUCAGACCUAGUUCUAAUCAGGAUGAGCACGAUGGCCAUACAUCGCAACACUAUAUUCACCAGUUCCUUCAAAUGGGGCGAAAUUACCUCAGCUAUUUAGGUUCCUCGCAGCAUCACUAUUUCCCAAACCGAUGGCGCCGAGCAACACAGUAUCAUGAAGCUGGCAUCCAGUUUAGGAUGAGAAUGUAUUCUGAGCAUAACCCCCAUUCCCUCUUGGAUAUAAAGCUCAGAGACGGUAUCCUGGAAAUCCCAUUCUUGUUUGUGGAUGAAGAAACUAUCGUCUUCUUCAGAAACUUGAUAGCACUGGAGCAAACAUGUCCGCAAGUUGGAAAUUAUGUCACGGCUUACACUGUUUUCAUGGCCAAGCUGAUGAGCAUGCCCGAUGAUGUUGCGCUGCUGGCUCGAAAGGGGGUCAUUGCCCACCAUAUGCGUACUGACAGAGAUGUAUCACAGCUCUUUACCAGGCUGACAAAAGGUGUUGUCUUCGAUUUCUACGGGAACUAUUACCUUAACCACCUGUGCUUAGCCCUGGAGGUAUAUUAUCAGAACCGUCUGCACAGGUGGGUCGCAUGGCUGAGGCACAACCAUUUGAGCAAUCCAUGGCUGGUGGUCGCUGCGUUCGCUGGUGUUAUUGUGCUUUUCUGCACCAUUGCACAGACUGUCCUUACUGUCGAGUCUUAUGUUAAUCCCAAGUAA